AACGCUGGCGGCGUGCCUAAUACAUGCAAGUCGAGCGCGGGAAGCGGACAAUCACCCUUCGGGGUGUGCGUCCGUGGAACGAGCGGCGGAUGGGUGAGUAUCACGUGGGCAACCUGCCUGUAAGAUUGGGAUAACUCGCGGAAACGUGAGCUAAUACCGAAUGAAGUCUUUCACCGCCUGGUGAAAGGAUGAAAGAUGGCUCUUGAGCUAUCACUUACAGAUGGGCCCGCGGCGCAUUAGCUAGUUGGUGGGGUAAAGGCCUACCAAGGCGACGAUGCGUAGCCGACCUGAGAGGGUGAUCGGCCACACUGGGACUGAGACACGGCCCAGACUCCUACGGGAGGCAGCAGUAGGGAAUCUUCCGCAAUGGACGAAAGUCUGACGGAGCAACGCCGCGUGAGUGAUGAAGGUCUUCGGAUCGUAAAACUCUGUUGUCAGGGAAGAACAAGUUGUGUUCUAACAGGACAUGACCUUGACGGUACCUGACCAGAAAGCCCCGGCUAACUACGUGCCAGCCGCAGC
rnacentral:rRNA from 1 species